UACGUAGGGUGCGAGCGUUAAUCGGAAUUACUGGGCGUAAAGCGUGCGCAGGCGGUUUUGUAAGCCAGAUGUGAAAUCCCCGGGCUCAACCUGGGAAUGGCAUUUGGGACUGCAAGGCUGGAGUACGGCAGAGGAGACUGGAAUUCCUGGUGUAGCAGUGAAAUGCGUAGAGAUCAGGAGGAACACCGGUGGCGAAGGCGGGUCUCUGGGCCGUUACUGACGCUGAGGAGCGAAAGCGUGGGGAGCGAACAGG
rnacentral:rRNA from 1 species